AUUGAACGCUGGCGGCAGGCUUAACACAUGCAAGUCGAGCGGGGUGAGGUGCUUCGGUACUGAGCCUAGCGGCGGACGGGUGAGUAAUGCUGAGGAAUCUGCCUAUUAGUGGGGGACAACAUUCCGAAAGGAAUGCUAAUACCGCAUACGCCCUACGGGGGAAAGCAGGGGAUCUUCGGACCUUGCGCUAAUAGAUGAGCCUAAGUCGGAUUAGCUAGUUGGUGGGGUAAAGGCCUACCAAGGCGACGAUCUGUAGCGGGUCUGAGAGGAUGAUCCGCCACACUGGACUGAGACACGGCCCAGACUCCUACGGGAGGCAGCAGUGGGGAAUAUUGGACAAUGGGGGGAACCCUGAUCCAGCCAUGCCGCGUGUGUGAAGAAGGCCUUUUGGUUGUAAAGCACUUUAAGCGGGGAGGAGGCUCUUGAGGAUAAUACCCUUGAUGAGUGGACGUUACCCGCAGAAUAAGCACCGGCUAACUCUGUGCCAGCCGCCGCUGUAACAC
rnacentral:rRNA from 1 species